rnacentral:rRNA from 1 species
UGGGGAAUAUUGGACAAUGGGCGAAAGCCUGAUCCAGCCAUGCCGCGUGUGUGAAGAAGGUCUUCGGAUUGUAAAGCACUUUAAGUUGGGAGGAAGGGCAUUAACCUAAUACGUUAGUGUUUUGACGUUACCGACAGAAUAAGCACCGGCUAACUCUGUGCCAGCAGCCGCGGUAAUACAGAGGGUGCAAGCGUUAAUCGGAAUUACUGGGCGUAAAGCGCGCGUAGGUGGUAUGUUAAGUUGGAUGUGAAAUCCCCGGGCUCAACCUGGGAACUGCAUUCAAAACUGACUGACUAGAGUAUGGUAGAGGGUGGUGGAAUUUCCUGUGUAGCGGUGAAAUGCGUAGAUAUAGGAAGGAACACCAGUGGCGAAGGCGACCACCUGGACUAAUACUGACACUGAGGUGCGAAAGCGUUGGGAGCAAACA